GGCCGGGGCGGCGCGACCGAACCUCUCGGCGCAGGCUGCGGAGCUCCGGGGGAACCGCGCCCCGGCAGCUCCUGCCCGGCCCCCGUGGAGGUGCCAGCCCGGUGUGCCCAUGCCUCUCCACUGCGCUCCCCAGUCGUGCCGGGGACGGUGCAGGUUGUUUCCUGAGUCGUUGAAUUGUUAAGGGCGGAAAAGACCUCGAAGAUGAUCCAGUCCUGCCCGAGGCCUGGGUCUCGCUCGAUCCCGCUCGGCCCGCAGAGCCCUCGCUCUGGUGCACUAACACAGCCUUGGGUUCUGCAUCAGCUGCCAAUGGAUACUUUUCCAUUAUUAAUGUAACAACUUACUACAAUACAGGAGCCAGAAAUUAAAGUGUUUCUUUCUGACUCCCAAAAGAAGAACAGGAGAGGCAUAGAAAAGACGUGACCUAUUGUAAGACAUUAUUCAGUGCCAUGGGCUUCCCUUUGUUCAGACUCUGUCGCCUGGAUUGUGGUGGGUGAGCGGCGCCGACAGCUGGUGGCAAGGGUUUAAGCCAUGCCACUGGUCAUGACAAAGCAGCCCGAGCCUGCAACAGUGCGUGCUGUCCACAGCAUGACCCGCGGGCAGGGACAGAGAAGGGAAGACUUCCCUAAGGAAGUACACAAGGAUCCUUCAUCCUGAACAGAUAUGCCAGCCCACAAGAAGCCAGAGUGCUGUGCAGAAGAAUGGGCAUGCUGACGCCGGCAGGGAACGCUGACUCUUCUGGAGUCAUCAGGAUCUCUGCUGCUGGCUUUGAAAGGGAAGAAGACAGCCCAGCUUGGCCUCUCACUGCGAGUUAGUCACACGCCGUUUCUUUUCUUGACAGUAGCUGUAUUAAGGUAACAUUUGAAGAUAAGCUUGUCAUCAUCAAAGCAACAGAUACUUUUUCUACAACACAAACAAGACUUCACAUUACAUUGAAAAAGGAAAGGCUUUUUUUCCAUCUCUUUUUUUUUUUUCUGUAUGCAUGUCUUAACUCAGGAAAUUAAUCAGACUACUGAAUUUCAUGUUUGAACAUAUUCAUUCAAAUAUUUUACUAAAAACAUCUGCUUUGGCUUUUACCCCAGGCCUUUUAAGACCAUUAGCCCUAUUCCAAUGCUGCUAUGCCAUGGUGUGUACUGACAAGCGGCGUUCCAGAAUUGCAAACGAGGUGUGCGGCCUUGCUUGUCGUGCCAGCUAGGGGCGGUGGCAGGCACCCAGUGUCCUCCUUGCUGGGUCAUCAAUCUGAAAUCCUGGGCACUGCUGGCUGGAAACUUCCUGCUAUGCCAGCUGUUUUGGGGGGCGGAUUGUGGGUGGAACAGGUGUGCAUGGACUAAGAGCAAAGGUUGUUUUC